rnacentral:rRNA from 1 species
GGGGUUGACGGUACCCUACUAGAAAGGAGCCGCUAACUUCGUGCCAGAAGCGUCGGUAAUACGGGGGCUCCAAGCGUUAUCCGGUGUUAUUGGGCGUAAAGAGUCGUGUAGGUGGUUGGGUAAGUUAUCUUUCAAAUAUCUUUGCUUAACAAAGAGGAGGGGGAUAAUACUGCUCGACUAGAAUUUUCUCAAGGGAGAUCGGAACUGAGGGAGGAGUAGUGAAAUGCGUUGAUACCCUCGGGAACACCAGUGGCGUAGGCGGAUCUCUGGGAGAAGAUUGACACUGAGACACGAAAGCUAGGGGAGCGAAGCAGAUUAGAGACUGCGUAGUCCUAGCCGUAAACGCAUGCUUGCUAGCUGCAUGAAUCUACCUUUCGGGUGGUAUCGUGUGGCGAAGGUAACCCGUUAAGCAAGCCGCCUGGAAAGUACGGCCGCAAGGCUGAAAUUCAAAGGAAUUGGCGGGGAGGCACACAACCAGUGGAACAUGUGGUUUAAUUCGAGACUAACCGAAGAACCUCACCAGGGUUUGACAUGUAGCUGCACGUCUUAAGAAAUUAAGACUCUCUUGAAGGUGCUACACAGGUGCUGCAUGGCUGUCGUCAGCUCGUUCCGUGAGGAGUGCCCUUAAGUGGGACAACGAGCGCAACCCCUAUUACAUGUUAGAAAUGUCAUGUAAGACUGCCUUGCCAUUUGGCGGGGAGGAAGGAGGGGCAGACGUCAAGUCCGCAUGGUCCUUAUGCCCUGGGCUACACACAUGUUACAAUGAGUACGGCAAUGAGUCUGUCGCGAGCACGUAAGUGUAAGCUAAUCUCUUAAAUGUACUCUCAGUGGGGAUUGAGGUCUGCAACUCGACCUCAUGAACACGGAAUUGGUAGUAAUCGCGGGUCAGCUAUACCGCGGUGAAUACGUUCUUGCCUCUUGCACACACCGCCCGUCAAACCAGCAAAGUCGAUUGUAUCCGAACCUCUCUUUU